GGCUACGAUCAUACCAGCACUAAUGCACCGGAUCCUAUAUGAACUACGAAGUUAAACGUGCUUUGGCGAGAUUAGUACUAAGAUGGGUGACCUCUUGGGAAGAGGUCCAAUACCGAGACCG
rnacentral:rRNA from 1 species